CCUACGGGAGGCAGCAGUGGGGAAUAUUGCGCAAUGGGCGAAAGCCUGACGCAGCGACGCCGCGUGAGGGAUGAAGGUCUUCGGAUCGUAAACCUCUGUCAGCAGGGAAGAACGGUCACUGUGCUAAUCAGCAGUGAAUUGACGGUACCUGCAAAGGAAGCACCGGCUAACUCCGUGCCAGCAGCCGCGGUAAUACGGAGGGUGCGAGCGUUAAUCGGAAUUACUGGGCGUAAAGCGCUCGUAGGCGGUAUGUCAAGUCAAGGGUGAAAUCCCCGCGCUCAACGUAGGAACUGCCGUUGAAACUGGCAAACUGGAGUGUGUGAGAGGAUAGUGGAAUUCCAGGUGUAGGAGUGAAAUGCGUAGAUAUCUGGAGGAACAUCAGUGGCGAAGGCGACUAUCUGGCACAUAACUGACGCUGAGGAGCGAAAGCGUGGGUAGCAAACAGGAUUAGAUACCCCUGUAGUC
rnacentral:rRNA from 1 species